GUGGUCAAACGCUCAGCCAAGAUGGUGGGAAGCGUUCAGACAGAAGUAACUUCUAAAACAUUGCUAGGGAAACGCUCUGACAUCUUCCGUAGAGGUGAAAAAGCACAGGUCUGACUCAGGUAGCUGCGAGUUCAAGUUCAGCCGCAGGCUCUUCCCCAAGGUGCUGGUCUUCGCAGGAACCCCUUGCAGGCAGCUGCAAAGAGCAGCACGGCGCGCACACACAGGGUCCGGCUGGCGUCUGGCCAGAGCAAGGGAACAGUAAGUGUGUCCUGGAGGCGCUCGCCAUGCACUCACACGCCAUCUGUGGAUUCGGAAGUGACCUCCCCCUCGGUUGAUGAGGGUUCUCUGCGUCUGGAGAACACAGGACGUCCACAGGAAAGUUCUCCCUCCUGCACUCCCGGCUGGCU
rnacentral:lncRNA from 1 species